CUACCUAUUGUCCUUCGAGCUUCUUCAAGACAUAUUCAUGGAGUCUUCCUUCGCUGCUCAAAUAUCAACUCAUUUCUAGCUUUCCAGUUCUGCCAGGUUUCUACUUCACGAGUCGGUGAUGGAAGUCCAACUAGUCUCCAUGCUUCCUUCGAGUCCGGGCACAUCCAUAAAUAAUGUACCACUGUUUCUUCUUGCUCAUUGCACCGAGGACAAAUUGGACUGAUCGAAGGAAUUCUUGAGUGGAGCUUAACUUUCACAAGUAAUCCUUCAUGGAGGGCUUUCCACAUAAAGGUUUUUGUCUUCGGUCGACUCUUUGAAUUCCAGAUUCCUGACCAUAGCUUCUUGGUUUUACACUGUUCAGGUAGAAAAUCAAUUGGGGGAUGAUUGAAUUAAAAGACUAUAUGGUAGCCUGAGGACACAGAGUAUCAGCCAUUCUUUUUCUUCAUCCAGGACAGAAUUUGGUUUGCAAGUGACUCCAGCUGAGUUUGUUGAAUUUGGUUUUGCAGCAGGUGAGUGUGAAGAAUUGGGACAUUGGUGAGGAAGAUUUGAUUUUUCUUUGGGAUCAUAGAUUGAAAAUUUUGGUUUUUCAGACAUAUUAGUGAUGUUGAAGGUUGGUGUAAUGGGUGGGGAAGGUAAAUGCUUGGUUUCAGUGACUCUUGGGAUAACUUGAAUCCCUUCAAAUAUGUAUAGUCCUUCCUUAAGUAGGCCUUGAAGGAGUAUUUUUUUGACAUCUGACAUUGCAAAAAUAAGGCCAGAAUCCAAAAAAUAUACAGUUGUCUAGUGCAAACUUAGCAAUACUAACAAGAUUUUAAGAGAUGGUAGGUACUUGUAGUAGGUUUCUUAGUGUGAAAGGUCUAUUGGAUAAGCACGCAUGCAUAAAGGAACUUCCAAUAUGCUCAUUUUUCAUACCUUGGGCAUUACCUCCAUACACUUUUUCUAUGCCCUCAUAAUCUGAUCCUGUCGCAAGGUUUCUUUGAUCGAAUGUGAUGUGAUGCGAGGCUCCUGAUGAGUCUGGAUACCAGGCCGUGUCAGGGAGAGCUGAUGGCAACGUAAGGAGUGCUUGUGGAUUCGCUGUUGUAGGUGACUGCAUUCUUGGAUCUUGAUAAUGUUGUUGAUUGCUUGAGGCAUUAUGGAAUGUCAUUGAGGGUGGUUGAGCUGUGGUUAGGGGGUUACAGUUGAGGAUUUAUGAAUUUUGGAUUGAACCUGUGGUAACAUUGUACAACUGUAUAUCCUAUCUUUCCACAUAAUUGGCACUGAGGUCUGCUACCUUGCCACCAUGUAGAUCUUCCAGGACCUCUGAAGUAGCCUCUGCCUCGCGUUCCUUGAAAACUACCUUUGUUGCGGUGGUGAUAAUUUCUGUCUUGAGCUUUUUCUUGUUCCUCAUUGCUUUGAAAAACAUUUGCAUGAAUCAUCCCUAGAUCUGUCUUCUGAACCUAUCAAUCAUCUCUUCUUCUGUGAGCAAUUGUGAAUUCACUUUCUAACAUGUGGUUCAUUCUUACCAUUGUAAUUAUAAUGAAUGCUCUAUAUUCCUCACUGAAACCUCCUAGAGCAGCUUCUAUGUAUUCUUCCUUGGUAAGUGGUGCUCCAAGAGCAUUUAGAGAAUCCUACCUGAUUGAAAUUUGUGAUGUAUUUAGCUACGGUUGAUCCUUGCUUCUUGAACGUUUUUAGUUGUGACUUCAGAUUCUUAAUUUUUGCUU